AGGAUGAACGCUGGCGGCGUGCUUAACACAUGCAAGUCGAACGGUGCUAGCAAUAGCACAGUGGCGCACGGGUGAGGAACACGUAGCUGAUCUGCCCUCUCGCGCGGGAUAACGUUUCGAAAGAGAUGCUAAUACCGCAUAAGCUCCCGGUCUUUAGAGGAUUGGGAGAAAAGGGGAAACUCACGAGAGGAAGAGGCUGCGGCCCAUCAGGUAGUUGGGGGGUAACGGCCCACCAAGCCAACGACGGGUAGGGGACCUGAGAGGGUGACCCCCCACACUGGGACUGAGACACGGCCCAGACUCCUACGGGAGGCAGCAGUGAGGAAUAUUGCCCAAUGGACGAAAGUCUGAGGCAGCGACGCCGCGUGGGUGAUGAAGGCCUUCGGGUCGUAAAGCCCUUUUCUGCGUGACGAGACAAGGACGGUAGCGCAGGAAAAGUCUCGGCUAACUACGUGCCAGCAGCCGC
rnacentral:rRNA from 1 species